ensembl:lncRNA
CAAGCUGUUUGCUUCUUCACUGCCUCCUGCCUGCUCUGCCAUGGACUGUUUCUCCUCUGUGAUGUCCCCCCGUCAUGCCACUCUGCCUUGGAACCAGGGGACUAUGGACUAAAACCUCUAUAAACUGAACCUCUCCUUAAAGCUACCCAAGUGUAUCCUUCACCAAAACAAGGAACUAGACCAAGACAGCAGAAGAUGUGGAAUUCAGGUAAUAGUGUCCAGCCCAAGAAAUAGGCAGAGAAUUCCCAGAUCUUUGUAGCAGGCAAGAGCAAAAACCACCUGGGCUAUAGAAGGAGACCAGAAAACUCCCAGAAGAAGGUGCACAGCAGAUCCAAUUGACGUGCAAGAGAGUUGACCUGAUAGAAAACACUUUUGAGAAACAUAUUAUGGAGCCACUGAAAGGCACAGUAAGUCUUAACCUGAGAGUUGGAGAAACUCUAAACACUGCAUGAUGCUUAAAGGAAUGAAUCUGAAGAUGGUAGAGCAUCGAUCCAGAGAGCUUGACUUAAUGCUACUUCUUUUUUAAAUUAUUGUAUAACUGUGUGUGUGAUAGCAGCAGGUAUUAGUCUGAUAAAAAUAGACAAACUCAUGAUUGGGUCACGACAAACCCAGGAAGACCUGAAACUGUGGGCAGGAGAUGUUACUGCCCAUACACUGUGACUUCAGCUGGGGGACGGGCCCUGCAGUACACCUUCGGGUUCAACUCUACCACCAAACUCAAGUCUCCGAGGCUCAGCCUCUGUCACUGCCUGUCUGUGACCUGGUGAUAGUUUUCCUUUUUGGAUUGGAAGGAUUUUUCUAGCACAUAGCAAGAUUCUCCUAAGACUGACCUCCCAUAGCCUAACUUUGGUUCCAUCUCUGAGUAAAAGAUGCUUCCAACCUUCAAGGGCAAUUGCUUGUGAGGGUUCUGAAAGCUGGGGAAAGGUCAUAAAUAAUGUUCUUCCUUUAAAUAACCCAUAAAGCAGGUACCAGCAGUGAGCCUUUUAACAUCUCUUUCUGCCUGUUCGGGACUAGCUUACUGGUGGAGUGUGUGAGCUUCUGGAGGAGUCCUCCAAGGCAAUGGAGAGGUGAGAGAGAAGCACUCAGAGCCAGAUCCUCUGCCAGCCAUUCGCUCCAGUGGGGCGAUCUCAGCGUGCUGUCCCCGCGCACAUGCCAGGCAGUCCUGUUGCUUGUAUCCUAGAUCCCCGCUACUUGCCCUAUCUGGAACAUCCCCCUCUCACCCCAUCUCUAGAUCUAAAUGCUUCAUCUUCCUCAGCAGAUCUUGCAGUCUGGUGAGUCCUGGCUUUAGAUUCUGUCAGAUCUGGAUUUGUCCAUAUAAGGGGCAAAUCUCUUUAUCUCUUUAAGCCUCAAUUUCCUCCUCUGUCUAGUAGGCAUAAAUAGCUGCAGUUAUGACAUCAGGUGACUGUCUUAAUUCAUAUGUGUACUGUGUC